CGGACGGGUGAGAAUGCUGGAAUCUGCCUGGUAGUGGGGGACAACGUUUCGAAAGGAACGCUAAUACCGCAUACGUCCUACGGGAGAAAGCAGGGGACCUUCGGGCCUUGCGCUAUCAGAUGAGCCUAGGUCGGAUUAGCUAGUUGGUGAGGUAAUGGCUCACCAAGGCGACGAUCCGUAACUGGUCUGAGAGGAUGAUCAGUCACACUGGAACUGAGACACGGUCCAGACUCCUACGGGAGGCAGCAGCG
rnacentral:rRNA from 1 species